UUGAAAGGGAAACGAUUGAAGUCAGUCGUACCAGCGGGAAAUCAACCUUUCGAGUGGGGGUUUUGGAGUUUUGAAGAGUUUCAAAACCUUUGAGAUUUCAAAAAUUUCGCUCUUUUGGUGUACUUUCUCGUGGGUAGGUUAACAUCGAUUCUGAUCAUCAUAAAAAGAUUGGAGGAAUGUAGCUUCGAUCUUGUAUUGAAGUGUUAUAGCCUUUGGUAAAUGUGAUGAUUAGGAUCGAGGAUUGCAACGAAUACCCUUUUGGGCUAUCCGCCUGAUCUCUGAUACGUGGCCUUGGUAUCGAAAGCUUGCUUAUGGUAUUGAGGUAUUACGGUCAAAAGGUUAGAACGGAUUACAUUCGUUAAGGAUGUUGACGUA
rnacentral:rRNA from 1 species